rnacentral:lncRNA from 1 species
CAGCAGCUGGGACCAGCUCUCAUCCUCAACAGCCCCUCCCUCCACACACCCUGGUCUCUGAUUUUGUUCCUCUGAGAGAGACAGAGGAGACAGCAGGAUUACACACAUGGAAGUGGAGAAGGCAAUGUGGUGAUGGAGACAGAUUGGAGUGAUGUGGCCACAAGCCAAGGACUGCCAGCAGCCAGCACGAGCUGGAAGGGGUAAGGAAUGAAUUCCCCCUAGAGCUUCCAGAGGGAACACAGCCCUGACCCCUUGAUUCUGUUAUUGAUUGUACUCUAGAGGAAAAUUGGAAAGCACAGGAAAGUAGAAAAAAAAUCCACAUUACUAUAAACUUUUGUUUUAUUUCCAUCCAGUCAUUUGUUUUCCCCAUGCAUAAGGGUUUGGUUUUGUUUUUAUUUUUUUAAUUGUGGUAAAAUACACAUAACAAAAUUUAUCAAAGUGUACAGCUCAGCAAUAUUAUUAAAUACACUUAUAAUGUUGUGCAACUAGCACCACCAUCCAUUUCUAGAACUCUUCAUCUUGUCAAACGAAAUUCCAUACCCACAAACAAUAACUCUCAUGCCUUCCUCCCC